rnacentral:lncRNA from 10 species
GAAGAUAUUUAGGUGACUUACAGCAACCAAUUGCAACAAAACAAAAUGUUAAGAAAUGAUCUUUUUAUGAGGCAAUUGGAAAUUUGAACACUGAUCAACUAUAGGAUGAUUGGAAUUAUUAAUUUUGUAAAGGUGUGAUAAGAUACUGCACUUGGCUGGGCACAGUGGCACAUGCCUGUAAUCCCAGCUACUUGGCAGGCUGAGGUGGGAGAAUCGCUUGAGCUCAGGAGUUCGAGACCAGCCUGGGCAACGUGGCGAAAUCCCCGUCUUUACAAAAACAAACAAACAAACAAAAAAGAUAUUGCAGUUGUGUUGUAAGCGUCCUUAUCUUUCAGAGCUACAUAGUGGAAUGUUUAUGGAAUAUUUAGGAUAAAUGAUAUAGGCAUUUGGGAUUUGCUGCAAAAUGACCCAGAGGCAGGGGUCAGGGGGAGAGGUAGAGAUGAGACAAGAGGUAGAGGGGAGAGGUAGAGGUAGCCACGAGCUGAUAAUUACAGACAAGAGAUGCGGAGUAUGUGGGGGCUCAUUAUCCUGCAUAGUCUAUCUUUGUAUAUCUUUGAACUUUUCAAGAAUAAAAAAGCUUAAAAAGUAUACAUGGCCUGGUCCUACCAGAGACUCACCCAAUGCCAGCCUCCAGCCAGGGAGAGCCAAGUUUGCAUUUUCACACGCAUCUCACACUCCUCUGCACUCUCAACUUGGAGCGCUCCAAACAGGGAAACCCCAAGCCUUGCUGGCUUCUGCCAACCCCCUGAGCAGAAGCAUGGGUCCCCCUGAUCACCACCUCACCACCCUCAUCCUGAUCUCACUGUACACAGCAAGCAAACCCCAGUGUAAUUAACAAGACUGAGGAUACCUGUAAUCCCAGCACUUUGGGAGGCUGAGGCCGGCAGAUCACAUGAGUUCAGGAGUUCGAGACCAGCCUGGCAAACCAUGGCCAACAUGGCAAAGCCCAUCUCUACUAAAAACACAGAAAUUAGCCAGGUGCGGUGGUGCGCAUCUGUAACCCCUACUACUUAGGAGAAUUGGAUUGAACCCGGGAGGCGGAGGUUGCAGUGAACUGAGAUCGCACCACUGCACUCCAGCCUGGGUGACAGAGUGAUUCUCCAUCUCAAAAAAAAAAAAAAAAACAACAA